rnacentral:lncRNA from 1 species
AAACAUAUUACUGCACAGAAUAUAAAGAGCACAACAUAUAAACAGCAGAUUUAUCGAAUACAAUAGAAGAUUAGUCUCCGAGUACAAUUCAUCAUAUUAGUCUCCGAAUUUAAAAUACCAAACAAAGUUAGAACAUAUUACAAGUCUCGAAACCGCAAGUAGCGAGUUUGUCUUCACAUUACAAGUCGAUAUCGAUCAUCUAAACUACCAUCACAUAGAAGAGAGCUGCAAUCAUCAUGAUUAGCAUCAUCGCGAUGAAACUGGUCUUCAUCCGGUUCCUCCUCCGAUCCGUCCUCUCUCCCGCUAGAUAGCGCGCAUAUCUAGCUUCCGCCUCCGCCCUAGUGGUGUACCCUUUGUAACUGUUACCGCUGAAAUGGUGAACCUGUCUCCGACACUCCUCCCAGUCGUCGUAGACUCCAGGAAUCACGAACCAGAAAGUCUGAAAGAUAAUAGACAAUCACGAACCAGAAACUUGUCUUGAUAUUUCACAGUUAUAGUCUCAUCAAUGCAUCAAAGGAGAUGUCAAACAAAGAAAUGACGUCUCAGAGAUGUUACAAUAUCUAGCAUGUGAAUAACUUAAUAUACCUUCCGAGUGAUUCUAGAUCCAGCUGGUAAAACCUUGAGGUCUACCACUACAAGUAGAAUUUUUUUUCAUCAGUAGCCAACCCGCACCCGUCACACAUUUUAUGGGUAAAACUCUCGCACUGCAGCAGAGAGCACAAACUUAACAAAUAACUGAGAGUAUUAAAAAAACAUCAGAAUCAUUGACAACUGCAGUAAAAAAUAGAGACAAGGGCAAAGUUAUGUCCUUCGUAUAUAAAUCCAUCCUUCUUCACCCAUGUAACUUGAAACGAUCUACAAAAGUUGUUUUCUACUAAAAAAGGGUACUCCCAGAUUUCUUCAUGAAACCAAUGGUUCAAUACAGUCGCAGCAGAAACAAAACAAGUAUCAUAGACAUGUAACUUAUGACAGGGUGGUUCAAGCUAAUGAUCACAUACUAGUUAGGAUGUGCAAUCAUAAAUUAUAAAAAAGAAGAGGAAUCUGAUUGUUGCCUAUAUGAAGGACAGUGCUAGAGUUGUGCGAAGUAGACGUCAAAGUCAAACGUGAUGUUGGACACUGUUACAGGACAACAGAAAGCCUUUGAACUGGAAUUCUUGAAAAUGAACUCAAGUACAUCCAGGAGAAACUUAUCACAAGCACUUGAUCAUCCACAGGAGAAGGGUUCAUAGUCAAGGUACACCCAGCAGAGGAGGGAGUCCACCGUUAGUGCUUCGGACAGUGAUAACACAAACAAUGAUCAAAGCCUCAAAAGAUAGAACGGUUGUCGAAGCAACAGAAGCUACAACUACUUAAAACACAAAAACAACAACCUGACACUCAAAGCUCACCUCAGCCUUGUCCCGAGAAAGAUUAACCUAGCCGACGGACCAACUGCUCCCCGUCGCCUUGUUUGAGGAGAUACCCGAAUUGCCACCGGCAGCGACAGCCUCGCGCGUAGCUGCUAUUAGCUCUGCAGGCCUCAUUUCUGCAAACCAGUUAAGGUGAUAACCAAUUUGAGAACUGAAAACACAUACUAGCUAGUAAUAGAAAGCAUAUCAUAGUCCAAACUAAAGCAACUAACUCCAACAAGCACCUAUUUUGUAACAUCUCAGUGAACUUGAGAAAUCCAACUACACUACUAUAUUGUACUGAAUUUUUGUGGCAGCAAGAAAGCUAAUUGCUCCCUCCGUUCCAUAUUUAGUGUCGUUGAUUUAGUACACUAAAUCAGCGACAGUUAAUAUGGAACGGAGGGAGUAAUUGGCACACAUUAAUGUCCAUCUGAUUCAUCACUAGGGUCUGACAGCAAUAGCACCCAGCUAAAUUCAGCCAAGAAUGAAGUAGAUUCAGACCUCCAUAGGCAUUGCGAAAGCCUGAACUGUAGAUAAUCUGGACAGCCACGACACAGAGCAGAAAGCAAGCAAAUUGAGCAGCAAGCACAUGAGGGUUAUGAAAUCAAAACUAGAUGCAUCGGGUAUGUUGGUAAUCUGGGUAGAGGGAGGCGUGGAGAAGGGACCUUGAGCAGCUGCCGCUCAAAAUCCAUAGCUGGGCGUCAUCCUCUUCUGCCUGCGCUGCAUCUGCAUGCAUCGGGUGAGUUGGUGAUGCUGCAGCUGCUCCAUCUCCAUGGUGAUGUCGUCAUCCGUGGAGGGCGCCAGAUGGAAUC